rnacentral:lncRNA from 1 species
GAAAAUGAGACUGAAAAUGACAACAAAAUAAAGCCAGUUUUAAAAUCUUGUUGUUUCUCUUUGCAUACCUCCUUUGAGAAUUCAGAAAAUCCUAUUAUCAUGGGAAUAUAUGCUAUACAUACCUAAAAGAAGCUUUGCUAAUUUUAACACCCAUGUAUUUUUUCUUCAGUUCCUAGCUGAAUUUUAAAAUUUAAAGAUUUAUAUAUGCUAAUUAGAUAUUAAUAUCUGCAUUUUAAAACUGUCAUUGAGUUGAAUCAAGUGUUUAUAUAUAUUCUGCAUCAAGCCUAACACGUAUUCAUUAUUAAUGUGUGUCAAACACCUUGCUAAUAACAGAAUGUGCCUUUCUUCCAGGACAUGAAGUCUAGUAGCAGAUAGACAUCACUUCAUUCUACCAGCAUAUAUACCGCAGCCUGCAUUCAUUCAAUGGGCAUGUACUGCAGUCUGCCACUGUUUUAAGGGCUGUAAUUGCUCUAAGUGCUAUUAGUGUUUUGGGGGCAAAGAUGAGGGACUUAUGGUAAAGUAGGCGAAGAAGUGAGAAUACCUAAAACAUCAUUUAAAUAACAAAAGGCUUCUUGUUUUUAAUAAAAAUUAGCUGAGUUCUAUGCAGCUAUGAAAUUUCCCUCCCCUAAAAUAAUUUUUUCCCCAAAAUCAUUGUUAGCAUUUAAGAAGGCAUUCAACGGGCAAUUGCAUGUAAUUACUGAAGUUAUGAGACUACAUUAAUCAUUUUGCAAACACUAAAUUUAAAAUUACUAAAAUAAUUCAUAGUUACAUACUGGAAUUAAAAAUAAAGGCAUUACUUAGUCCAUAACCAAGUUGGUGGAACAGAAAUAUUACCUAUAAUGAUGAAAGUAAACAUGACUAUCUUAAAUGGUGCAUCGCGCCUCUUUUGGGAAAUAAUGUCAGGAUUUUAGGUCUGAGCCGACCACCCAGUUAUUUCAUCAAGUUUGUCAGCAGAGCAGAAGAGACUUGCACACUUCCAUCCGGGAAGGGAAGAUUGAAAUUUCUAUGCAUGUUUUGUGUUUAUGCCUUACUCCCUAUUCUUCGCUUUUCAAACCUUUUAAAGUCAACUCUUUGCAUUUUAAAGUUUUUCUUUUUAGUAUUAAGGUCAAUGUCAAGAUGACAGUGGUUUAACUGGCCCCAAACUCCUAAAUAUAUACCUGUACCUGUCUUCCUUUCCAGUAAUUCAGAGGAUGAAGAGAUGGAACUAAUCUUUUCCACUUCCAAAGAAACCCGUGAUUGGGGGAUUCCACACACGAAUAAUUUUGCUUCCCCAAAAGGCACCAUGUAGUGCAAAGUGAUUGAUACUAAAAAUGGGGGCUUUCAAUGUAUAAGUCCGAAAUGCAGCAUGCCGUUUUCUAAGGCGGUGGUGACAUGCAUAAAAACAAAUUAUUGGAGCUUGGUGUGUGAGUGUGAUAUAAAUAUCUUCCGUUUGGACUUGCGUGCGUUUUCUUAAGUAAUUCAAAACUGUGCCCAAAGCCUGCAUCACGAGCUGGAAAACACUAAGCGCCCUGCUCCAGAUGCCGGUCAGCCCUCCCGCUCAAUACCUCCCACCCCUUUAAAAUGUUGGCGUUGUUGGACUUGUGUCAGAGAAGGUCCGUACUAUCUUCUCCACCCUUUAAUCAGUGCAGGACACAGCAGACAAAGACAGAAAGUGCCACAUAAGAAACGACUCUAGAGAGCCCACCAAGCCCGCGUCCGGGUCACGCAUCCCCUAGGUGCGUGUCCCGUGGGGAUUGCGCCCCGGCUGGCCGCCCGCCUCGAGCCGAAGCCGGACGCCGGCAGGUCCCCAAGCGGGGUGUCCACCGGGUCGGCUCUCCUGGGCGCUGGCAGGCUGCCGCGUCCAAUGUGGACAGGAGUGUCGGGCCGAGGGCAAGGGAAGAACGUGGUCCUCCCCGACUUCCUCGGCUUUUCCCAUUCUUCCUAAGUUUCUCCAACUCCAAAGAGCAGCUUCGCGGUGUCUGCGAAGUUUCUAACGGGGGAGGCGGCGCUGGGAGCAGGCCGGGAGCGCGGGCGGGGGCCCAGCGGGUGUAGCGGGAGGAAGGGGCGGGGGCGCGCGGCCCCAAGGCGUCAGUGCGGAAGCGCCCAGCGGGCCGGGGGUUCCCUCCCGCGGGGCCUCCCGGGGCGGACCCGGGUGCGGCGGCCGAGAUGCGGGCGGUGGAGGGGGCAGGCCCCGACUCUUUCGCUCCCUCCGCGCCGCGGGCCGCCGGCCUGAGCUGGGAAAGGCGCGGCGGGCGGCUGGCGAGGAAGGAGGCCUCUGUCCUUUCACUUUGCUUCCCGGGCCAGGCCUCCAGCUGGAGCCGCACUGCCGCUCGGGGGCCGGGGCGAAGGUCCCUGCCGGAGCCUCCCGGAGGAGCGGCUGCCCCGCGGGCGGGGGAACGGUGCGGCCAACUCGCGGGGGCGAGCCCGGAGCCGGCGGAGACCGGAACCCGGGAACCCAGGCCCCGCGGCGCUAGCGCUGCCAGAAAACUCGCUGCGGCCGCGCCGGUCGGCCUACUUCGCCCCGGCUGUCCGCGCGCGGGACGUAGAAGAGCGCCCUGGCCGGGAAAGAGAUUAUCUGAGCCGAGAGUGAGCUCCGCUAAAACGUAGGCUAAAUUCGAGGACACGGUGGCACUACAUCUCAUUCUUUCAGAGGAGAUGCUUGCACUACAGUUUGGACCCUUGCUUUUUGACAUUUCAGAGAAAACAUCUAAAUAUUGCUAAAGCUGGAUUACUUUACCUCCUACUCCAAUAUUACCUAAUUUUUUUACGGUGAAAAAAUAAAAGUUCC